UAGAGGUCUCACUAGGCAUAAAUCGCUAUUACAACAAUCUGAGUCAGAAUAGUCAAAAGAUGCAUAGCAUUCCUACAGCCUGCUGUGUACCUAAUCUACAAUCAAGCUCAGUGCCAUCCGCCAUCUAGUGAAAGCACAUGGUCGCACAAGCUUACUGCACUUCAAGUGAAUGUUCUUCUUAAAGAGACAGUACAAUUUUUUUUGCUAAACCGUAAAAAAUGUCUAGACAAGGCUCUGAACACUUUUUUAUGGCUGAAUCAAUGUAGAUACAUCAUGCCUCUGAACCGGCAGGCGUACAGGGAGCAGAUUCUGCAGAUAUUACCGAAUAGAGUGUAAGAACCAAACGUACAAUAAAACCAACACAGAAACUCAGUGAAAACUAUCAAGCCACUAGAGAUGAGUUCUCCAGUAAUCUGUCAGACCACUGGGACAGAACCUCACACCGCAUGUCAGUUUUGUCACACUCUAAUGAUCAACCAGCUGAAAUAAGAGACUCUAUAAAUCACCUAUUUACUGUGUAUGUACACUACCAGCAGCUGUCAGCAAAAUACCCAGUCUUCUUGCAGGACUCUAAUAUAGGGUAUUCUUCAGCAGAACUGACUAGGACUGAUGCACUGAACCAAUAAAGGGAUCUCGCAGUGCAAAAUGCUAAGCUUAAGGCAGAACUCCGCAUUACUCAACUGCAGGAGAUCAGAUCUCACAGAUCCACCACAACCAAGCGCACUGCACUUUCUUUCAGAUGCUCUCGUUCCAGAAGAUCAGCAUUAAGCGACAAGUUAAUAGAGGCCCGUGCUGAUGCCGAAUCAAACAAGGCGCAAAGCUGCUUUACCAGAAAGCAAGCAGAGAUGGAAGCUCAGAGGGCAGCUCAACAAGUCAAGAUGGAAGCUCAAAGCAAAGCUCUCCAAGCAGAGGCAGAUUCACAAAUAAAGAUUCUGCAAAUGGAAGGGGAGGAAGCAGUUUCCCUAGCAAGGCUGAAAGUCCUUGAACAAGCAAUGGGACAAAGUACUAAUUUAAACUGCCUUAUCCAGCAAAACUGGAAGAGCACCAACAGUGAAUACGUUCUUAAGCAUAAAAUCUGCAAAGAUACAGUUAUCUCCUGUACCUCCAACUAACAAUACUGUUCUGACUCCCAACACAGAGACCUCUCAGCUCUAUAUGCCUGAGCCUCUUCAAGUCAACAAAGCAAGUACAUCUAUGCAGCAAACCGGAUCAACUCAUGUCAACAACAAGGUGACUUCCAGUGAUAGGCCGCAGCUCAAACCAAAGCCAGCACAAGCCUUAGAGACUACACCACAAACUACACCACAGUUAUAUGCUCAUGCAACAUCACUGUACCCUGGUAAACCUCACCCUACAUCACCAGAGAACUUUCACAACCAAGGGGUUCCACAAGUUACUUUGACACCAAGGAGUGAGAGACCAGACAUGAAUGACUUUGCCAGAUACAUGGUACUCCGUGAGCUCAUUAACACCAGCCUCUCAAGGUUUGAUGACUGUCCAGAGAGCUACAGGGCCUGGAGAUCAACCUUCAAGGCUACUAUUGCCGAUCUCAACCUUACUGCUAAGGAAGAACUUGAUUUGCUUAUAAAGUGGCUGGGACCAGAAUCUGCAGGUCGUGUUAAAAGACACAGAACAGUACAUGUUGACCACCCAGAUGCACGUCUUGUUGCUGCAUGGGCAAGACUUGAGCAAGCCUAUGGUAGGUCCGAAGCCAUAAAAAGCGCUCUAUUCAAGAGACUGCAAAACUUCCCAAAAAUAGGGAACAAAGACUACUGCAAGCUCCAAGAUCUGAGUGACCUCCUCAUGAAGCUAGAGUUGGCAAAGACUGACCCACGUCUACCUGGACUAAGCUUCCUGGACGCCGCUCAUGGUGUCAACCCAGUGGUGUCUAAACUGCCAUAUGGCCUACAAGAGAAAUGGGCACAAUAGGGCUCAAGAUACAAAAGAGACUAUAAUGUAUCCUUGUCUCAAUUCUCAUACUAUUGCAGGUUCAUUAGUGAUCAAGCCUGGAUGAGAAACGAUCCCAGCUUCAGCGAACCCAACCUGCCUGCUUCAUCCUCACCAUCAUCAAGGUAUGAUAAUACAGCAGCUAAACGUAGAGACUUAAAUAGAGCAAUAUCUGUUAAAAGGACAGACAUCUCACCCUUUGCAACCUCACCUAUUGAUCAGGGCAUUGUAGAUGACAGAGAUAAAGACCCUAAUCGUCAGUGUCCUAUUCACAAGAAGCCUCACCCUCUUAAGAAAUGUCGUGGGCUUAGGGCAAAGACUUUACAAGAGCGUAGGGAGAUUCUCUGGAAACUUGGCAUAUGCUACAAGUGCUAUGCUUCUUAUAGCUAUUUUGCUAAAGACUAUAAAGUUGUCAUCAAGUGCACAGAAUGCAGUAGCGACAGACAUGUUACACCCAUGCAUCCUACUCCACUUCCAGACAACCUACAACAGCUUCCUACCUCCACUCCCAUCUCAAAUCAUGGCGGGGAGCAACAAGGUCAUGCUCCAACCAAAGAUAAUGUCUCUUCUUCAUGUACAGAAGUCUGUGAAAAAGGCAAGGAAUACAAAUGCUGUGCCAAGAUAUGCCUAGUCAAGAUAUACCAAAGGGAUCAUCCUGAGAAAGCUGCUAGGAUGUAUGCCAUAAUAGAUAAACAGAGCAACAGAUCCCUGGUUAAGCCUAAAUUCUUUGAGAUCUUUGGCAUAGAGGGUCACACAACACCAUAUACUCUCAUAACCUGUUCUGGUCGUGUAGAGACCUUUGGCAGAAGGGUUGAUGGAUUCAUGGUCUCUCAUAUCAACAAGGAAGGGGGCAUACCCCCACCAACGUUAGUUGAGUGCGACCAGAUACCAGACAAAAGGGAAGAGAUUCCCACUCCAGAAGCUGUGUAUCAACAUCCUCAUUUAAUGCACCUUGUAGAUGAGAUUCCUGCAAUGGACAAGAGAGCUGAAAUCUUAGUCCUGUUAGGAAGGGACAUUCUCAGAGUACAUAAAGUACGCGAUCAGUCGAUGGGCCUGACAACACCCCUUAUGCACAAAGACUUGACCUAAGCUGGGUGAUAGUGGGUGAUGUAUGCUUGAAUAGGAUGUGUACGCCAUCUGAGAUCCACUCCUUCAAGACUUGCUUGUUGAGAAACGGACGUGCAUCCCACUUCAAACAGUGCCCUCACCAUUAUGAAGUAAAGGAGAAGCUUCUUGACAUCAUCCAAAUACCUGAUGUUACUCCCAUCCUUUGUGAUGACAACCUAGGUACCACAGUGUUUUGUACUACAAAUGAGGACAACAAAAUAGCCUUGUCAGUUGAAGACAGAGAAUUCAUCAAAUCGAUAAGGAAUUCUUUCAGGAUGAGUCUAACAGUUGGGUUGCACCAGUACCUUUUCGUGCUACAAGGGCCAAACUCCCAACCAAUUGUGAAUAGGCUUUAUCCAGAUUAAACUCACUUCAACGAACAGUAAGGAACAGGCCUGAACCAGCGCCACCACUUCAAAGACACGAUGAGUGCUGGUAUCUGCCUUUCUUCGGAGUGUAUCAUCCACGUAAGCCAAAACAAAUCAGGAUAGUAUUUGACUCCAGUGCCAAGCAUCAAGGUGUAUCCCUAAACAAUGUUCUUUUCACUGGCCCGAAUCUAACCAACAACCUUGUUGGCGUACUUAUGAGAUUUAGAAGAGAACCAGUUGCCAUAACUGCUGAUAUUGAACAGAUGUUUCAUUGCUUCAUUGUACGUAAAGACCAUAGGAACUUCCUAAGGGUUCUGUGGCACCGUGACAACAACAUGGACAAUGAGAUUAUUAAAUACUGCAUGAAAGUACAUGUUUUCGGAAAUAGUCCCUCACCCGCUGUUGCAACAUAUGGUUUACAAAGGACUGCCGUUGAUGGAGAAAAGGAGUAUGGCGCGGAUGCUAGACACUGUUGAGAAAGACUUUUAUGUUGACGAUGGACUUAAGUCUUUACCUACAGACAAAGAAGCCAUAGACCUGUUCCAAAGGACACAAAGUAUGCUUUCUGGCUUUCUGAGGCCAACCUCAGACUACACAAAAUUGCCUCAAAUAGUGCUGUUAUGAAAGCCUUUCAACCUGGUGAUCAUGCCACAGGGUUUAAGGACUUAAAUCUGGGAAUGGACAUGCCACCUAUACAGAGAAGUCUGGGCCUCCGGUGGGACUUAUUAAAGGACACUUUCAGCUUUCAAGUCAGCUCUACAGACAAGCCAUUUACCAAGCGUGGGUUCUGUCAGUGGUAAACAGCCUAUACGAUCCAAUGGGAUUUGUGGCUCCCAUCACCAUACAAGGUAAAGCCUUACUUAGACAGCUCUCAGAGUCUAUUAAAGAUUGGGAUGCUCCACUGCCAUCUGACAAGCUUUCAAAGUGGGAGUCCUGGAAGCAAUCUCUACACGCCUUAGAUGGAAUCCAUAUAUCACGCUGCUACACCUCAGCUUCCCUUGCUACGAGCCGGAGAAAAGAGCUUCACAUCUUCUCAGACGCAUCUACUGAGGCCAUUGCGGCUGUUGCCUACCUCAAGAAUAAAGCAACUUACACGGAUAAACUCAGUGUUGGAAAUCGCUGCUUUCUUUUUCACACCCAGUUUCUAAAUUCAGCUAUGAGGAGAUGAUUAAUUGUCAUGAUUCAAGGGGAAAGAACUAAGGCCGUGAACAAGGUCUAAGACUAGACCGAAACGUGGGCCAGUGGCUAUUACUUUUGGAUGGAUAUACAAAAGAAAAAAUAUAUAUAUAAAAAAGAUAUGAAAUAAAAUAAGCAACUACUAAAACAUUUACAGAGUGCCGUGGUCUCUUGAUGAAAUGUGUCUUGACCAGCAACCUAGCGGUUCUUGAAUGGUUGACUCGGUCAUCCACUCAUAGGCCAGAGAAGUAUAUAUGCUGUAGGCUCAGCUCCACUAUAUAGC